GAUGAACGCUAGCGAUAGGCUUAACACAUGCAAGUCGAGGGACCGGCGGAUGGGUGUGUAACGCGUAUGCAACUUGCCUCUUAGUGGGGGAUAACCCGGAGAAAUCCGGACUAAUACCGCAUACUAAGUGAUAGGCAUGCGUUCCAUUCGCUAGUUGGUGAGGUAACGGCUCACCAAGGCAUCGCUGGAUAGGGGAGCUGAGAGGCUGAUCCCCCACAUGGGGACUGAGACACGGCCCAAACGCCUACGGGAGGCAGGAGUGAGGAAUAUAGGUCAAUGGAGGAUGCUCUGAACCAGCCAAGUGGCGUGAAGGAUGACGGUCUAUGAAUUGUAAACUGCUUUAGUAGACGAGUAAGUAGCCUAAGAAUAAGUAUCGGCUAACUCCGUGCCAGCAGCCGCGGUAAUAC
rnacentral:rRNA from 1 species